CAAUGGGGGAAACCCUGAUGCAGCANCGCCGCGUGAGUGAAGAAGUAUUUCCCNUAUGUAAAGCUCUAUCAGCAGGGNAAGAUAAUGACGGUACCUGACUAAGAAGCUCCGGCUAAAUACGUGCCAGCAGCCGCGGUAAUACGUAUGGAGCAAGCGUUAUCCGGAUUUACUGGGUGUAAAGGGUGCGUAGGUGGCAGUGCAAGUCAGAUGUGAAAGGCCGGGGCUCAACCCCGGAGCUGCAUUUGAAACUGCAUAGCUAGAGUACAGGAGAGGCAGGCGGAAUUCCUAGUGUAGCGGUGAAAUGCGUAGAUAUUAGGAGGAACACCAGUGGCGAAGGCGGCCUGCUGGACUGUUACUGACACUGAGGCACGAAAGCGUGGGGAGCAAACAGGAUUAGAUACCCUGGUAGUCCAAGGGCGAAUUC
rnacentral:rRNA from 1 species